GACGAGUGGCGGACGGGUGAGUAAUGUCUGGGAAACUGCCUGAUGGAGGGGGAUAACUACUGGAAACGGUAGCUAAUACCGCAUAACGUCGCAAGACCAAAGAGGGGGACCUUCGGGCCUCUUGCCAUCGGAUGUGCCCAGAUGGGAUUAGCUAGUAGGUGGGGUAACGGCUCACCUAGGCGACGAUCCCUAGCUGGUCUGAGAGGAUGACCAGCCACACUGGAACUGAGACACGGUCCAGACUCCUACGGGAGGCAGCAGUGGGGAAUAUUGCACAAUGGGCGCAAGCCUGAUGCAGCCAUGCCGCGUGUAUGAAGAAGGCCUUCGGGUUGUAAAGUACUUUCAGCGGGGAGGAAGGGAGUAAAGUUAAUACCUUUGCUCAUUGACGUUACCCGCAGAAGAAGCACCGGCUAACUCCGUGCCAGCAGCCGCGGUAAUACGGAGGGUGCAAGCGUUAAUCGGAAUUACUGGGCGUAAAGCGCACGCAGGCGGUUUGUUAAGUCAGAUGUGAAAUCCCCGGGCUCAACCUGGGAACUGCAU
rnacentral:rRNA from 3 species